GUCUAUGGCCAUACCUCCCUGAACACGCCCCAUCUCGUCUGAUCUCGGAAGCUCAGCAGGGUCAGGCCUGGUUAGUACUUGGAUGGGAGAUUUUGAUGACCUGCUCUUAUUUAUU
rnacentral:rRNA from 1 species